rnacentral:rRNA from 1 species
GAUGAACGCUGGCGGCGUGCCUAAUACAUGCAAGUCGAGCGAACAGACGAGGAGCUUGCUCCUCUGACGUUAGCGGCGGACGGGUGAGUAACACGUGGAUAACCUACCUAUAAGACUGGGAUAACUUCGGGAAACCGGAGCUAAUACCGGAUAAUAUUUUGAACCGCAUGGUUCAAUAGUGAAAUACGGUUUUGCUGUCACUUAUAGAUGGAUCCGCGCUGCAUUAGCUAGUUGGUAAGGUAACGGCUUACCAAGGCAACGAUGCGUAGCCGACCUGAGAGGGUGAUCGGCCACACUGGAACUGAGACACGGUCCAGACUCCUACGGGAGGCAGCAGUAGGGAAUCUUCCGCAAUGGGCGAAAGCAUGACGGAGCAACGCCGCGUGAGUGAUGAAGGUCUUCGGAUCGUAAAACUCUGUUAUUAGGGAAGAACAAAUGUGUAAGUAACUAUGCACGUCUUGACGGUACCUAAUCAGAAAGCCACGGCUAACUACGUG